UUUUUUUUUUUUUUUCCGCUUUUUAGGGCCACACUUGUGGCAUAAGAAAGUUCCCAGGCUACGGGUCGAAUCAGAGCUGCAGCUGCUGGCCUAGGCCACAGCCACAGCAAUGGGGGAUCCAAGCCACAUCUGUGACUACAACACAGUUCACAGCAACGCCAGAUCCUAAACCCACUGAGCAAGGCCAGGGAUUGACCUACAUCCUCAUGGAUACUAGUGGGGUUCAUUGCCGCUGAGUCACGACAGGAAAGGUCCCAUAGUCAACUUUUCAAUGCAAGAUUUAAUAAAUAGGGAACUACAAGACAUGGGCUGUAACUGAAGCUGAAUUUCACUACUAUCCCAGGGCUUCUGUAUACAUUUUCAAAAAGACUUAAAGAAGACAACUGAUUUGGUGGGAGUCGCAUUUAACAAAUCCUAUUUAAAUAUAUCCCCCUGCUCUCACUUCCCACCAAAAGGUACUGUAAAGGUAUUGCUUCAGUUGACAAGUUAAGGAUUUGCGUGUUCAGAGGGGAAAUCUUACCUUUCUCUAAAAGUAAAAAGCUUCAGAAAGUUAUAUAAAGGGAAAAAGUAAGAAAAGUAGAAACUCAAGUGUUUGGGCAAAAUAUUUCAGAAAUCCUCAUGGGCGCAUUUCUGAGAAUACUGUCCAUCUACUGUAAAGCUAAUAAGGGGAUAAUAAAAGUGAAAACAUUUCAUAGCACAUUAUAAAGGAAAAUACACCUAGGAAUACUAAAUUGGGUUCCUGAUGAAUCCUAAAGUUACUCAAAUUAAGAAAGCAUUUUAUUAGGCAUUGCCUUAAACCAUAUAACUGCUUUAAACCAAAUUUUACUGACUGGCGAUUUAAAUCAUGAUUAAAAAUAAAUUUAAAUGAAAUCCAUCCAAAUUCUAGUAUUAAGGAAGAUUUAAAAUCAAUAGUACAUCUCCAAAGAAUACAUACAGAUGGCCAGUAGGCAUAUGGGAAUAUGCUCAACAUCACUAAUUAUUAGAGAAAUGCAAUUCAAAAAUAUAAUGAGGCACCCCCUCAUACCAGUCAGACUAGCCUUCAUUACUAUAAUAAGUGUUGCAGAGGCUGUGGAGAAAAGGGAACCUCCUACACUGUUGGUAGGAAUGUAAACUGGUACAACCACUAUGGAAAACAGUAUGGAAGUUCCUCAGAAUACUUAAUAUAGAACUACCAUAUGAUCCAGCAAUCCCACUCCUGGGCAUAUAUCCAGACAUAACUACAAUUCAAAAAGAUACAUGCUCCCAUGUUUGUAUCAGCACUAUUUACAAUAGCCAAGACAUGAAAACAAUCUAAACAUUCAUCAGCAGAUGAAUGGAUUAAGAAGAUGUGAUACAUAUAUACAAAGGAAUAAUACUCAGCCCCCCCAAAAAGAACACAAUAAUACCAGUUGCAGCAACAUGGAUGCAACUAGAGAUGAUCAUACUAUAUUUCUAUAUUCAAUAUAACAUGAUGGAAGAUAAUAUGAGAAAAAGGAGUUCCUGUUGUGGCUCAGCAGUAACGAACCCAACUAGUAUCUACGACAAGGCAGGUGCACUCCCUGGCCUCACUCAGUGGGUUAAGGAUCUGGCAUUGCCAUAAGCUGCAGUAUCACAGGCACAGCUUGGAUCCCAUAUUACUAUGGCUGUCCAGUAGGCUAGCAGCUACAGCAGCAAUACAACCCCUAGCCUGGGAACUUCCAUAUGCCUCGGUGUAGUCCUAAAAGGACCAGGAAAAAAAAAAAAAAAAAAAAAAAGAAAAGAAAAAGAAAAAAAAAGAAAAAAGGAAAAAGAAAAAGGGAGUGUGUGUGUGUGUGUGUGUGUGUGUGCAUGAGUGCAUGACUGGGACACUUUGCUGUACAGCAGAAAUUGACACAACAUUGUAAAUCAAUUAUACUUUAAUGAAAAAAGAAAUGAAAUCAAUAAUAGAGUGUCACUGGUGGUAUUGAUAUUUAUUCCCAAGUAAUUUUUCAAAUAAGUCUAUAAAAGAUGUUCUUUAGAAGUCAAUUAUACUUCCUGGAGUUUGACUUAAAGUUUCUGAAGAAGGCUCAAUAAGAUACAAAUAAAUCCACAAAAGACUCAGAGGGGUAUACAAUGUUCACAAUCAUCAAAUCAAACUGUAAUUAUGAGAUGCCAUGGCAAGUUUUGUAUUUCUGAUUUUUGACUAUCAAUAAAAGGUUGCUCAACAAAAUGACGUUGUUAAAUGUCCAAUUUCAACUUCAUAACUCUAUUAUUAAUAAAACUUGUUUUCAUAUUGCAAAGAUAUGUCCUUAUAAAAGAAAUAUACUUAUCUAAUGAUGUAAUAAAUAUGUGUUUUGCAAAUUUGGAGACAAAAAUAAUAAAAACAAAAUCUGUAUCAAUGUUUAAAAAAUUAAUAUUCUUAGAAACCAAGUUUUAGAAAUGUAAAAUGUUAAAAAUUAAAAUUAUUACAUCAGAGUUGCCGUCGUGGCUCAGUGGCUAAUGAAUCCAACUAGGAACCAUAGGUUGAGGGUUCGAUCCCUGGCCUUGCUCAGUGGGUUAAGGAUCUGGCAUUGCCGUGAGCUGUGCUGUAAGUUGCAGACACGGCUCAGAUCCCACGUUGCUGUGGCUCUGGCAUAGGCCGGAAGCUACAGCUCCAAUUCGACCCCUAUCCUGGGAAACUCCAUAUGCCGCGGGAGCAGCCCAAGAAAAUGACAAAAAGACAAAAAGACAAAAAAAAAAAAAAAUUAAAAAAGAAAAAAUAAAUUAAAUUAAAUAAAAUCAUUACAUCUUGAUAAAAUCUAAGAUAAGGCUUGGUCAGUGACUUUCUCAUAUUAAUCUUUCACUCAGUGCCAUAAGAAAAGACAUCUUCUAAUCCCCACAAACUACUGCUAUCCUUCUAGUUUAUAUUGUCUUCCCUAUACAUUGUAAGACAAAUCCUAAUUAUAAUCAUUCAAAUGUUCCAGGAAUUUCCAGAACUGUAUUCAAUCGGCUGCUAUUUUUAAAAGGUUUUUCAGAAUUGUCUACUUUUUUUCUCAAAAGACUAAUAAAAAAAAAAACUCUUCCUCAUUAUGAGGCUAAUUAAAUAAUACCUGCUUGAGCAUUCCUUUCUCACCUGUUUUAAUUUUUCCCAAUUUAUAAACUACUCCUUUACUAUUGUUGUACUUAACGUUCCAUAUUUUGUACUUCAGAAAUGUAUGCUUUAUAUUCUAUCAAUAUUUAUAAAUAUUGAUAUUUUCAAACAGGUUUGAUAAAAACAAAGAUUGUUAUGAAUUGGACUUCCCCUUGUGCCACAGCAGAAACAAAUCUGACUAGGUUGCAGGUUCGAUCCCUGGCCUCGCUCAAUGGGUUAAGGAUCCAGCGUUGCUGUGAGCUGUGGCUUAGGUUGCAGACGUGGCUCGGACCUGGCGUUGCUAUGGCUGUGGUGCAGGCCAGCAGCUGUAGCUCCAAUUAGACCCCUAGCCUGGGAACCUUCAUAUGCCACAGGUGCGGCCCUAAAAAGCAAAAAAAAAAAAAAAAAAAAAAAAACUGAUUGCUACAAAUAGAGAAGCAAAAUCACAUGGGAUGUUAUUUUCCCUUAUGUGAGAAAGCAUCUAGGUUAUUUAGCACAAGCUAAAAUAACUAUUAUUGGGUCAUACUAUCACGAUUAACUAAUUCAUAAAUCCUAGUUAAAUCAUUUGUGAAUCUUUUUUUCCUUUCUCUAUACCUACAAUUGUUCUUAAGAAAAAUAAAAAUUAGAAAGAGCUAUUGAGACCAUCAUAGAAAUAAAUUUAAUUAAGGCCUAGAAAUUUUUUGUGGUUUUAUUAAAUAAAAUUAAAAAUAAUUCUAAAACAGAUGAAAUGCUGAUGUGGGAAAGUAAGGAAGAGAGAGGAAGAAAGGGAGAAAUCAAAAUUUACUGACAGACUUCUGACCUGAUCAGAGAUAAAUAAGGCACAGAAAAUUCUUACCCUUUUCUUUAUUUUUAGGAAAGUUUAGGCAAAUAGCAUGUCACUUGAUCUCAAAAACUACAUAUCAUCAUCAACAAUUAUGGAUUACAAAAGAAGUAAGGAUAGUGUACUAUUAAGAGUCAAGGUGCUGUUGUCAGUGUACUUGAAUUAGUAGCCUGACCACCAUUUUUUAUGAGCUCUAUGAUCACGUCUUUAUUUUUAUAAAUGGGAUAAUAAAAGCACCUAUUUAAUUCAGUUAUUAUGAAAAUUAAUGAGAUAAUACAUGACAAAUGUUUAGCAAAAUUUCUGAUACUUAGAAAGUAUAUUUUAAAUGUUAUAUGAUUAUCAUUUUACCCACUGUUAAGUAGAGCAUUUUAUUCAAACCUCAUAUAGACCUGAUCAUAAAAUUACUCUACUUGAGACUUCAUUGACAUCUCAUAGCCUUUAUAUUUAUUUAUCUUUUUUCUUUUUAGGGCUGCACCUGCAGGCUAGUUCCCAGGCUAGAGGUUGAAUCAGAGCCACAGCUGCUGGCCUAUGCCACAGCCACAGCAACACAGGAUCCAAGCGGCAUCUGCAACCUACACUGCAGCUCACAGCAAAACCAGAUCCUUAACCAAUGAGGGAGGCCAGGGAUGAAAACCACAUCCUCAUGGAUCCUAGUCAGGUUCUUAACCCAUUGAACCACAAUGGGAACUCCAAAGACUUUAGAAUUAACUCUAAACUCCUUCACAAAACAUUAAAGAUACUCUGAUAAUCACCUCUCAUCAUUAUUCCUCUUCUUCUCUAAACCAAUCCUCAUUAGACUUCAAUUCCCCAAAUAUGCCACAGCCACCCUGCUUUCCUCCAAGUAGUUCCAUAUCAUGUUCAUUUUAUAUACAAUAUUCUUUACUAUCUUGUCCUUCCUUCAACUUAUAAACAUCUCUUCUUCCUAGAGCCUGUCCCUAACAUGCUGAAUAGUCUAUGUCAACUAUCGUAAUGCUCAUGAAAAUAUCUUGCAGUGAGAAUGCAUGAAGUCUGAGGGUAAAACCCAACUGAAUGCUGAAACUGGCUUGUUGGAAGGAUGCGUCCAUUUUUGUAAAUAAACUUUUAUUGGAAUACAGCCAUGCCAUUCAUUAGUAUUAUCUAUGGCUGCCUUCAUGCUAAUAGGGCAGAGUGCAGUAGUUGCAACAGAAACAUAUGGCCCAGAAGACCCGAAUUAUUUACUAUGUAGCUCCUUAUGAAAAGUUUGACGCUCCUGGUUUAAGCUCCAUCUAGCUAGGUUUUCUUACAUACACACACACACACACACACACACACACACACACACACACACAUAUAGCCAAAAGUAUCCUAAUUCAUAUGAAUUAGUUUCUUAUUGAAACAUUCAUGGAUUUCACUGUGAUUACUUAUCUAUCUUUCCUUCUAUAUAUGCUUAUUUUGCCAUUUGCAUGAAAUCUCUAAGUAGUACUGGCCUGCCAUUAUGUCCCUAUUACCUAACAUAAUAGUUAACAAAUAGAAAGCAUUCAAAUAUUGUCUGCUUGGUUUUCUGGCUGCAUCCAAGCAUGUGGAAGCUCCCCCAGGAUAGGGAUCUAACCUGAGCCACAGCAGUGACAAUGAGCCACAGCAGUGACAAUGCCAAAUCCUUAACCACUAGGCCAGAAAGGAACUCUCUUUUUAUUUUCUUGAGCAUUCAAAUAUUGUUGACUGAACAAGUGACCAAGUGAAUGAAUAAGCAUAACUGAAAUAUCCAAUAAAUAUUUAUUAAUAAUUUACAUGUGCAUUAGGUACCCUUAGUGAUACAAAAGAGCAUAAGACAUAUUCUCUGCCUCGAAUGGCUUUAAAAAUCAGGUUUAGGAAAUAAACAUGUAAGCUGUAAAAAAUACCUUUAUCUAACUAUAAGUUAUUUCUGGAACAAAGCAGGGUACAUCUGUCAUAUAUAAAUACUGCCACAUUAAAUGCAUAUAUCGACUCCCCCAAAUUCUGAUUUUACAUCAUCCCAAAAGGUAUAAAUUUGUGUGUCCUCACCCCUAACCAGUAGGGAGGCACGGUGACAUAACACCAUCCUGUGUAUGGUCCACUAAAAACAUGGGGAUGACUGAAUCAGGCUACCCACAGCUUCUUGGCAUCAAUACUCAAGACACUUCAACUGAUACCUCUUGUUUUGACCUUGUUCGUUGCCUUUAUUGAGGUUUUAAAAAAUAGACAAAUACAACAUUAUUAUCUUGUAAACCCGUCAUCCAGGAAUCUAUCCCUUGAACAUAAUCAACUCUGACUGAUGUAAGAAUCUAACCUAUAAAGCUGUCCCAGACCUUCAAGAUUAAUGUCACCUUUCCUGAAACCACCCAACCUCCCUUCUUAAUGUUCUCAUUACCCCUACCUUUAAAAUGCCCCACAUAAUGCCUUAUAUAAUAUCAACUUUGUACAAAUAUGUAAAUACUAUUCUAAAAAAGUAAAAUUUGGGAGUUCCCCUCGUGGCUCAGUGGUAAUGAAUCCAACUAGUAUCCAUAAGGACAUGGGUUCAAUCCCUGGCUUUGCUCACUGGGUUAAGGAUCUGGCAUCGCUAUGAGCUGUGGUACAGGUCACAGAUGCAGCUCAGAUUCUGCACUGCUGUGGCUGUGAUGUAAGCCAGCAGCUAUAGCUCCAAUUCAACCGCUAGUCUGGGAACUUCCAUAUGCUGUGGGUACAGCCCCAAAAAGACAAAAAAAUAAAAAAUAAAAUAAAAUAGUAAAAUUUGGUCAAAUAGAAAGCAAAUAUUUAAUGACAGUAAAAAUUAUAGUCACCUCAAAUAGUCAUAUAAUAUCUAAAGUAUAAACCAAAAGAGGCAGAAAAGAAAGGAGCAAGGCAUUUCCUUGACUGACAAUUUAUUCAUACUUAGUCCAUAUUUUCCAGUUUCAGAAACCUACUUUUCAUUCUCCUGAUUUUCUCCCUUUAUCAACAGAUUUCCCCCAUACACUCUGUGAUCCUCAUUCUAUUCUACCAACUCUAGCUAGGUCAGCCUUCCUAGCCUUAAAGCCAGAUAUCCAAACCUAUCUACUCUCUUACAAGAUUCAACAUCCUUAAAACUACCAAGACAGAACUCAGAAUUCUGCAGGACGACAACUGCUCAAUGUGCAUUAAUGGUUGUGGGGUGCCAGGGGAAAGAAUGUAAUAAUGUUACACUCUUACAAAAUCCACCACACACUUAACAUUUUAAAGAAUGUGUAAAAGCCAACAACCCAGGCAGUUUUAUAUAAUAUCACUGUAAAUGUAGAUAAAAAUAAACACAUAGACAACUGUGAAAAAGAGAAGAAUGAGAAGGAUUCCAUUGCCUUCUAAAAACUUAAUGUUUCAUAGAAUCAAGAUCUCAAGGAACCAUUUCCAAGAUCUUGGUAAGCUCUUCAAUUUAACACUGAAAAGUGAUAUACUAAAGAUAAACACUUUUGUAUUGAGUAUUAAGGUGAACAUAUACAGGGUGUUGAAAGACUAACAAAAGAAGAUAAAUUCCUAGGAGUUAAUAUUUCAUAGAAUAAAAGACAUCAAUGUCAGUUUUGAAUAAAACAAACAAGAAGCUGUAAUUUAAAGUUACUAAACAAAAUUUUGUUUCAUUUUAACAUCUUAUAAUUAAACAAACUGUUAUGAGUGGACUUCAACCUCCAAAUGGACAGAGCUAGAAUAACUUUCAAUGUUAUCGAUUCCCCAAAAAAAGAAAUUCUGGGUCUCAUAUUCACAGAUACUCAGACACUCACACCAACACACACAUAUAACUUUUUUUUUCAAUGUUACGGUAAUUACUUAAUGCUUUGUAGGGUCUUCUUGAAACUGUACUUUUAACCAAGACAAUUUAUAUAUCAUUCCUUCUAAAUUCAUUCUUAUGUCUAUCCAGCUUCAACAUAUACCUUAAUAUUGACCAAGUCUUCAUUCUGUAUUGAAAGAGGUCUAGCCAGUAGUAAAUCACGUGGCUCCCUCUCCUUGUUCCAUCUUUAUCCCUUUCCCUUAACAGUUUUACAGUAAGCAAACAGACAUCUUUAAUCACAAGGAGUGGUUAACGAAUCCGACUAGGAACCAUGAGGUUGCGGGUUCGGUCCCUGCCCUUGCUCAGUGGGUUAACGAUCCGGCGUUGCCGUGAGCUGUGGUGUAGGUUGCAGACGCGGCUCGGAUCCCGCGUUGCUGUGGCUCUGGCGCAGGCUGGUGGCUACAGCUCCGAUUCGACCCCUAGCCUGGGAACCUCCAUAUGCCGCAGGGGCGGCCCAAGAAAUAGCAAAAAAAAAAAAGACAAAAAAAAAAAAAAA
rnacentral:lncRNA from 1 species